rnacentral:tRNA from 1 species
GAGGGUAUAGCUCAGUGGUAGAGUGUGUGUUUAGCAUGCAUGAGGUCCUGGGUUCAAGCCCCAGUGCCUCCA